ensembl:snoRNA
UGGGCCAAUGAUGAUGACAGGUGGGACAUAAGUCAUGGACGGACGAUGAAUAGUAAUUGUCUGGAUAUCUGAGGUCCAU